UUUCACAAUGGGCGAAAGCUGAUGGAGCGACGCGCGUGGGGGAUGAAUGGCUUCGGCCCGUAAACCCCUGUCAUUUGCGAACAAACCUUACUAUUUAAAAGAUGAUGAGCUGAUUGUAGCGAAAGAGGAAGGGACGGCUAACUCUUGCCAGCAGCCGCGGUAAUACARAGGUCCCAAGCGUUGUUCGGAUUCACUGGGCGUAAAGGGUGCGUAGGUGGUGAGGUAAGUCGGAUGUGAAAGCUCCGAGCUCAACUCGGAAAUGGCAUUGGAAACUACCUUGCUAGAGGGUUUGAGGGGGGACUGGAAUACUUGGUGUAGCAGUGAAAUGCGUAGAUAUCAAGUGGAACACCAGUGGCGAAGGCGAGUCCCUGGAAAACUCCUGACACUGAGGCACGAAAGCUAGGGGAGCAAACAGGAUUAGAUACCCUGGUAGUCCUAGCCGUAAACGGUGCGUAUUUGCUGUAAAAGGAAUCGACCCCUUUUGUGGCGUAGCCAACGCGUUAAAUACGCCGCCUGGGAAGUACGGUCGCAAGAUUAAAACUCAAAGAAAUUGACGGGGGCCUGCACAAGCGGUGGAGUAUGUGGCUUAAUUCGAUGCAACGCGAAGAACCUUACCUGGCCUUGACAUGCAAGUAGUAGAACCAUGAAAGUGGGACGAGCCCGCAAGGGCAGCUUGCACAGGUGCUGCAUGGCUGUCGUCAGCUCGUGUCGUGAGAUGUUGGGUUAAGUCCCGCAACGAGCGCAACCCUUGUGUCCUGUUGCCACCUCUACGAGAGUAGGGAGCACUCUGGACAGACUGCCUCGCUUAAACGAGGAGGAAGGUGGGGAUGACGUCAAGUCAGUAUGGCCCUUACGGCCAGGGCUGCACACGUACUACAAUGCCCGGCACAGAGGGAAGCGAGACCUUAAGGUGGAGCAAAUCCCACAAAACCGGGCCCAGUUCAGAUUGUCGUCUGCAACUCGACGGCAUGAAGCUGGAAUCGCU
rnacentral:rRNA from 1 species